rnacentral:rRNA from 1 species
GAGUUCCUAUGGGGGGCAGCAGUGGGGAAUAUUGCACAAUGGGCGAAAGCCUGAUGCAGCAACGCCGCGUGGAGGAUGAAGGUUUUCGGAUUGUAAACUCCUUUUGUUAGAGGAGAUAAUGACGGUAUCUAACGAAUAAGCACCGGCUAACUCCGUGCCAGCAGCCGCGGUAAUACGGAGGGUGCAAGCGUUACUCGGAAUCACUGGGCGUAAAGAGCGCGUAGGCGGGAUAGCAAGUCAGAUGUGAAAUCCUAUGGCUUAACCAUAGAACUGCAUUUGAAACUGUUAUUCUAGAGUAUGGGAGG